CACGUAGGGGACGAGCGUUGUCCGGAUUCAUUGGGCGUAAAGAGCUCGUAGGCGGCUUGUCGCGUCGUCCGUGAAAACCUGCAGCUCAACUGCAGGCUUGCGGUCGAUACGGGCAGGCUGGAGUUCGGUAGGGGAGACUGGAAUUCCUGGUGUAGCGGUGAAAUGCGCAGAUAUCAGGAAGAACACCCGUGGCGAAAGCGGCUCUCUGGGACGGUACUGACGCUGAGACGCGAAAGCGUGGGGAGCGAACAGG
rnacentral:rRNA from 1 species